rnacentral:lncRNA from 1 species
CCAGGAUGAUCCGUUCGCGUGUUUACCCAGACAAGGGGACAAGCCCCCUGUUAUGCGAUCAGACACUCUCCUAGCACUAUUUUGCAGGUGGGACCAAGAAAAAAAAAUUCAGACAAAAAAAGAAAAAGAAAAAGAAAAAAAAAUCCACAAGCCACUAACUUAAACAGUCUACUUCAAGGGUGGUGGGCCUCGUCCAAUCAGGUGACGGUUUCUCAGAGAAGUAAUUCUGCCUCAGGUCUGUACUGUCACCUGCCACCUCGAGGUCACGAACCAGCCCUACAGGUGUCACACAGACCAGCCCCACCAUCGUAUGAACCACUUCCUUCCCAUCAAUCAUAUUCAUGUGUAUUUUUGGCAUGUAUGCGCAUCCAUUUUUCUCCAAAUAUGUGUCUGUCUUUCCCUCGGUGUAUCUGUCCACAUACAUUGUUUCCUCUCUUCUGCAUGUAUCUAAGCGGAUAUACCUGUCUCUGUGUCUACAUGUAUCCAUAUUUCCAGAUACAUCUGCUCUCCCUGUGAGCUUUGUCCUCAUCAGCAAACACAACGCCCCAUGAGCUCUGGUUUUCACAAGACUCUCUCCUUGGCUUCUAAGACUUUCCGCAGGUCCCCGCUGCAUGUGCGCUUGUGGCCCUUCACGGCCACGUUCCCUCCCUGCGUGGGACUUGCUUCUCGUCUCAACAAGACCUGUACUAGACCCUUCCCUGCUUCUUACCUUCAUGUGGUUGGGCGGGCGGGCGGCCUGCGGGGUUUCAUAUUCACGUGUCUCAGAAGUCAAGGUGCAGAGCUGGUCUCGGGAUCCUCGCGAGAAGUCCUCUCCCAUCCCCGCCCAUGCUGCAGACGAAGGCGUCCACGUCCCGAUCCAUGUCUGGUGGACGGAACCAUGUCCCCAAAGAUGUCCAUAUCCCAAUCCCCACAUGGUAGAUGGAACCAUGUCCCAAAGACGUCCACAUCCCGAUCCCCAGAACAAUGUCCCCAAAGAUGUCCACAUUCCGAUCCCCACGUGGUAGACAGAACCAUGUCCCCAAAGACGUCCAUGUCCCAAUGCUCAAGUGGUGGAUGA